UCGUGCAGAACCCCCCGCGCCCUGCGCCCCCUCCACUCUCUCCUCUCAGCUCCCUCAUCUCCAACCCCAAACCUUUCCCCACCCCUGUAGCCGCCUCCCCGAGCUUCUCGCCCCCUCCACUCCCUCCACGCCGCCUCCUCCCAUCUCCUGACGAGGCAGCUCCCAAGCGAGGAUCCGGCACCUACCUACACUGCCGCUGUCCAUCCCUCCUCAUCCUGGAUCCUGCGGUCUGAGGCGUGAGGCUGCGGAGGCAAGCUUCUCCGGCAGCGGGGGCAACCUACAGGCAAAGGGUGACCGGCGGCGCUUGACUCGAUCUGCGGGAGAUAAUAUGAGAGGGAGGGAGAGAAGGAAGGAGAGGAGGGAGAAAGAGAGAGGAAAGAGGAGAGGGAGGUGCAGGGGCGGACGGGAGAGGGUCACCGGAAGGAGCGCCCCGGCUCGUCGUUCACACCGCCCAGGAGGAAGAGGAGAGGGAGGUGCGGCAGUGGAUGGGAGAGGGCCACUGGAAGGAGCGUGGCCGGCGUCGUUCGCACCACGCUGGAGCAGAGAUGCCUAGCCCUCAUGCCCGCAGCACUAGGAGAAGAGCAUUUGCAAAAAGAGAAGAGCCCCUAUAAUCUACAUUAGUCGAUUUGAGGGUAUGUUGAAUGUGAUAUUUAAUAAAGAUGGUAAUUCUUGCUAUUCAAAGUACACAAGUGGUUGCCCCUGAGGUCUCCUCCUUGUCCGGCUUGUUCAUUAAGGUCGGCAGGGGGAAGGUCCAGGGUGAGACCUUCAAGAUGGAUUUGAUGUUGCUAUUAUUUCAGUUUGUGGACAGAGGAUGUGAUUCCAGCAAGACAGAGACGACGGCAAUGACAAGUGAGAUUUCUGUUAAGGAGUAUUAGUAGAUGUUCACAUGAUCGCUAGAAGCAUAUGAAGGUAUCCACAAUGAUGGUUGCUUUCUUAUCGACACAUGAUUUAUUUAUAAUUAUUGAUAAUGUACCUUUGUGAUCGUAGCCAGAAUCCAUCUCAAUGUGUAGUUUCUGAACGUCCAUGUCCAUCGCCAGCUUAACAGCCUGUCAGAGCAACUCAGCCACUUCAGGGCUACAAACCUGAUCAAACACAUGAGACGCAUCUCCUCUGAAAGCUCCAUCUUGGUCUCUAAACACUACACCACCACCAGCUAUACUUCCCGACUUUGAUCUCGCACCACCACUCCACCAGCAGUGAAAUGAACCUUGAUUUGAACCAUUCCAGUUUGUCUCUGGUUGUACUCUAUUUGGAUCCAAAUAGAGUAAGAAGAAAAAGGAAAUGUAUUGCGAGCCAGCAGGGCAAGAUUUUGUUCGGCAAGGGCAUUAACUGUAGGUAAGCAGAUGCAGUGAGCCAGUGACCAGAGAGUCUCGUGAUCAGACUGUGGGUGGUUAUUGUUGCACUAUUCAUAUCUCCCCUGUUUUGGGUAUAGUCCAGUAGCUGAAAGUUUAUGUAUAGUCAAAUGUAAUUGACUAACUAGAGAGUUCAUGUAUCUACAUGAAAAUAAGCUAAUACAAAUGAAAAAUUGUUGAAUGCAUUUAUCUUCAUUCAGUGUGUGCCCCAUAGUUAAUGCAAGUUCUUACAUUAGAAAGAAAAUGGAUAACCAUUCUCAAAUGCUGACACUUCUUAGAACUUCUCUUUUCAUAACAUGUGCAACUUUUUACUUCAUGAGCAUGUAGUACAGUGCCAAAGAUUUGGGAUGUCACAUAUAAAUAGAUUAUAUUGCAUGGCUUUUUGAGAAUAAAUGUCACAAUGUUUCUUUGUUCCCUAAUUUCCCUCCUACUUUUUCUUCAGUUUCGUCAAUACACUUUCAACUACUAAUUAUUUCAGUUUAUUCUGGACAUGCCAUUUGAUGCAACAUAGUUCUCAUGAUACCAGUAAUCUUCAAUAGACAAAGGAAUUUGUGCAGAAUGCAGAAAAUAAAUAAGCCAAUCUUUUACCCCUAUACAUAGACAGUAUUUAAUGAUGUGGUUAGUAAGGCCUUCCUUUGGUGGCUAAUUUCUUUUAUUGUGAUGCUUGAAACAAUUUUUUAAACUGAUAAUGAUUCUAGAAUAAAAUAGACCAAUGAUAUUCUGACCUACGAUGAGGCUGGGGCACGUCUUCUAACCUGCAGCAGACUGUACACGCAGCGGGGGCGCCUGUCCCGCUAUCGGUCCAGACCAUGGGCGCAGCUUGGUCGAGCUACAGCGAGUGCAUCUGAUUCCAACACAUCAAGAUGAGCUCCCUCUUUUAUUAUUCUUAGGCAAUGAGGUGUUAGGCCCAAUCUUUUUAUUUGUUGCUUUGAUGAGUGUUGUCAUGUUGUGGAAAGGCAACAUGUGCUUGAUAUGUGGAGUUGGUGUUGAGCCUGGCGGUAGUAGACAGUCGCUUGAUCUGAGAGUUGAUUCAUAUCUUUUUUUUCUUGAAAGUGUGAAGACAUUUCUUAGAUUGCUUCUUGUUUUUGAUGUAUUUUGUUCUGCUGAUAAGUGGCAGGAAAGAAAAGACCUGCUUGAAUUAUAGAAAGUGUUCUAAGAAAAUUAUGUGAAUGGAAUAUGGACUGCAUAUACAUAUGAUGCAACUCUUUUGCAUCCGGAGAUUGGAUUACAGAUUCCUCAUGUUUGUGUACACAGAUUUCCCAAAAGUAUUACGUGCUGCACAUAUUCUUAUUUCUUUUGAUUAAUUUAGAGCAAUGUAGGUGUGAAGGCUGCCGAUUCAAGUCUCAACUCAAGCAAAAUUUGAUUUUUUUUAUUGUUCUGUCGAUGUAGCAUCUGAGACUGACUUACUUAGAGACCCAGUUCUGCUCUGUAAUUUCAGAAUAUAUGUUGUCAUGUGCUUGUUUCUGCUUUUGGUGUGUGCUUUCCUAUCUAAUGUUCUCUUCUUGCUUUUGGAAUAGCUGCAUAUGUUUCCAAAUACCAAAUGUUUUCUUCUUGGUUUUCAAAGAAACCUUUUGACCUUCUUAUUAUACAUGCAGGUUCAUGAUACUGAGGUUAUCGGCGUUCUCCUGCAAACUGAAUUAAUUCCUCUGUGCUUGCGUACCAUGGAGAUGGGCAGUGAGCUAUCAGAAAACGUUGUCGUUUGCUCAUUGUUGUCCUGGCUGUGCUACUUCCUUCUGGUUAGACGAACUGCUGUGUUCCUAGACCUGCAGCUCAUUUCUGCUCCUCAAGAGAUGGUGUCCACGCCUUCAUCAUAGCUGGUGUCCACAUGUUCUUCAGAGCUCGUGUCCACGGCUUCAGCAGAGCUACUGUCCACACUUUCGUCAGAGCUAAAACAACAUAGACUAAUCAAGUCACAUUACUGUGACGACGUGUAAAUCAGCCCGAGGUUUUGAAUGGGACUUUACACCACCAAAUUAGAAUGUGUGUAUAUAUAUCUCAUUGUACACAGCUAAACACCAUUUUUUUGACUAAAGGAGAUUAUGUUUACUAUCAUAUGUACUUGCCCACAAGAGGUCUUUUAUCGUCGGGGCUUGUUACAGGCAUGAUCAGUUCAUGAUUUUAAAAUAUUUUUAUACAUGUAUCUAUAAAAAAUUGUAAAAGGAAUUGUUGAAUAUAUUUAAUUUUUGUAA